GCUCUCCGAGGAGCUUUCGAUACUUUGGGGUCAAGUUUGAGGCAGUUGUAAGUGUACUAAGUUUAGUUUUGCUAAUAAUGGUAUUCUACGUGUGUCAGCCUCGUAUGGACUUCUGUAAUGACUAAUGGAUAUGUUUAUGCCCUGAGCAUUUGCUCUAGGACUUUUAAAUGAAAUCCCCAAACUCAAGAUUACCUUAUUUGGAGAAAUUAUUAGUGUUAUUAUGUUUAAAAUGUAAUAGAUAGAGCGAUAUUUUACCUUUCACUUUGGGACUCGCACAGGAUGUUUGCAGCUUUUGAUACACACGAGUCUGGUUCUGUUGCCCAGGCUGGAGUGCAAUGGUUUGAUCUCGGCUCACUGCAACCUCCGCCUUCCGGGUUGAAGCGAUUCUCCUAUCUCAGUUUCCAAAUAGCUGGGAUUACAGGCACCCACCAUGAGGGCCUCUUUCUGCUUAGUGGCCGUGGCCCUCCAUUAUUUCAGCAAUGGAUUGUUUCUUCGGACCACCUUUGACCAGCCUGUCACUUCAUGGACACCCUGCAGGGAGUUUCCAUAGAACAGCUCCAGCCGACCCGACCCUCUACUGAAUUUUCCAGAUACCCAGUGGAUUCCUCUUAUGAAUGAGCUCUGGCUGCAACCUCUGGCAAGUUUGUUGGCCAUAGUCUACAGGUAUUUGAAAGCAUGAACCUUGCACUGAUUCAAGUAAGAAGACAUUCGGGAGAGGUCCAAACAUCAGAUUUUCUUACACAGAGUGGAGAAGGAACAGUUUUUCCAUUUCCCUGGAAAGAAUUGAGUGAAGUUGACAGCAGGAUUGCAGAAGUGGGAGCACCCAAGGACCAACUGCCUGUGGAAAGGUGCUAGAAGCUACUGACUAGAGGUCUCCUGUGUGCUCAGAGCUGGACACUCUUUGGGACAACCUGCCUGUGGAAAGAAGCUACCCACUUCAGGUCUCCUGAGAGCUGUUCUGUUCCUCAAUGAAGCUCCUCUCUGCCUUGCUCACCCUCCAGUUGUCUGCAGAACUUAUUCUUCCUGGAUGUGGGACAGGCUGCAGAUGAUAAGGAGAGAAGAGAAGAGCUGUAGCCCUUUAGGGAUCCCAGACCUUAGGGGCUCUUCAGGUGUGGGAUCUGGACCAGAAGCAUGAGCCAACUGCAGCCUGCCGGGCUGAGUGGGCAGAAGGAGCCCAGCAGGUGUGAACAAUACUCAGGCAGAAAGCACUGCCAGCCACAGAGGUUUCCAGUUGGCAAAGCAACACCCCAAGGAUCCCAUGACAGUAAUAUUAUAAAAGGUGAUAGAUGAACCUACAAGACUAUCGCCAGCUAUGAUGCACUGUUAUCACAAAAGUUGUAACGAUUUGUACCUCAGAGUCACAAAUGUUUUAAAUGACUACCAAAAUGAAUUUUAGGAAAGUAUAUAGCAUGGUAAUGGCUUUCAUAGUGGUACCAGGAUAAAAAUUAAAACACAAUUGUAAGUUUUUAAAUUUAUUAUUGAAAUAAACUGGUGAUUUGGUGCGGUUAUUCCCAAUGUAACAGAAAUGUCUCUGUUAAACUGUAUCUCCAGAUUUAUGAUUUCUACUAAAUAAUAUUAUUAAAUAAUAUUACAACUAUCUAUUUUUUUAGUGCUGUAAUAGAGACUGUUUUGCUCAGGAAAUCCAUGAUAACCUUUUCUUAGUCUCACAGCAAGACUGUAGUUUCCAGGUUCCUUGCUUUAGGUAUUGCCACAUGACUGGGUUCCAGAAUAAAUAGAAUAUUCUGGAGCCUGUACUGGUAUACAGCAGUUCCAUGUCUGACCUAUAUAGAACAUGCAGUCCUCACUUUCUUUACUCACCUACUGGCUGAAUUGAGAGGAAUCUAAGCAUAUAGAAGAUGACAGAGCCUCAAGAUGUAAAGAAACUUUGUCACUGAAUGACUGUGUAGAACAGAGUCCCUCAUUCGACUGUAAAUUGUUGAAAGUUAAGCCACUGAAAUUAUGGAAUUACUUGUUAAAGUUUUCGUUUAUUCUUAUAAAUACAAACACCUGAAAAAAAAUCAAUAAAAGUAAGAUACCAAGGUG
rnacentral:lncRNA from 1 species